rnacentral:lncRNA from 1 species
CCUGAAUCAAAAUUUUUCUGGGUUGUGUUUGAUUAUUUUGUGAGUAAACAAAUUCAGGAUAUAAGUAACUUUAUAGUCUUGCGCUAAUUUAGUGUGGUAACCUAAUUAAUAAUAUUGCCACAUCUUCAGAAUAUAACCCAUUUCUACCCCCCACCUUAUUAUCUUGGGAAACAGGAAACCAAAUAUGAAUUGAAACUAAAUUCGCUUACAAAUAAAGAACUUUUCAAGACACAGGAAAUGUAUUUUUAUUCUACUUAGUAGAACAUUAAAGAACAUUAAAGAAGUAGAACAUUAAAGAUCAUUAAAGAACUUUUCUAUGCGGAUUAAUAUUUUAAUAUUCUGAAAUCUGAAUAAUAAUAUGCCUUAAGAAAUUCAAGGAGUGUAAUAUGAUUUCUGAUAUAAAAGUACUUCAGGGAAAACAAACUAUUUCAAAUAUGUUAACUAUUAUUACUACUCCAAAUUCUUCAAACACUGUGCCGUUCUAAUUUAUUAAUGAAAUGAUACACUAUUGAAAUGAUUUCAUUUUUAAUAAUGCCUCACAAAAUUUGAAUGUCUUUGCUUUCAUUAGGUGAUCAUUCAAAAUACCAAGCACAGCUGCUCACAGAUGACUGACCAAACAGGAAUCUCACUCCAUUUUUCAAUGUUCACCGGCUGACAACUUUUAGACAUCAUCCCUUCCUCAUCGUUUUUGUCCACAUUUGGGUGAGCUACUAAGAGAGCCUGUGCUUUCUCCUUCAGUACCUGCUGGAAACUGAAACCAUACAAGCCCCCCCCCCCUUAUCCGUACCCCACCCUUAAAUGCAAUAAAAACUCCUGAGCCAGUCUCUUUUUCUGGCACUCUCCAGACACUUCAGACCUCCUUGAGAUCCCUGCUCUGUGUGGUGUACUACUCUUGACAUUUCAGUCAAAUUUCAGUGAAAGUGCCCCCUGCUUUUGCAGGGUGACCGUAACGGCUUGACCCCUGCAGGAACUGAUCGAUCAAGGAAGACAACACAACAGCUGCAUGGAUUUCCUUCACAAACUAUUGUUUUUAUCUUCAUAAUUCAAAGAUUAAGCCAUAUGGGUGAAAAGUUGUAUCACACUCUGAAACCAAGUAGCUGGAAAAUACCCCGAAUUCUGAGGCUGCAUCAGGCUGAACUGGAAUGAAAGAACAUGAGCUGAAUAUUUCAUACUGUGCUGAUUCCUAAAGCUGGAAAUGAUGGAGGAAACCACAAACAUAUUUUAAUCUUUUGAUUACUAAUAUAUGUAUAGAUAAGCCCAUCACUAUUUUCUACUCUCGCAAAUGGUUAAUUUUAUUUAUUUAUUUUUUACAAAUGGUUUAUAAGACUAUCAAUAUUCUGCAUCUUCCUCAACACUAGGUUUCAUUAUCCUUUCAACUACUGACAAAAUGAUAGACAAGAAUACAUUGCUAAAAUGUUACUAUCAUCACACAUUUCCCUAUAAAAAACAUUGCCA